AUGCGCUUCGUCUGUAACAUCACGGUGCGGUCCACGACGACGCUCCCCGGUGGUGAUGAGGAGUGCGCGGUGUUGCAUGAGGUGUCGGCGCUGCUCUUCUCGGUACAGCGGGUCUUCAAGAGCCUCUCCAACUACGAGCUCAUGGACCUCGCCGUCGACAACCGCACACGCUGCUUCCGGCACCUCCAGGUGGGCCUCACCUGCCACGCCGAGUUCAGCAUCGACCCGCUCCGCGUGGCACCGUUCGCGAAGCUGGCCAACACGUGCAACGCGAAGCUGGCCAACACGUGCAACGCGAUGCUGGGCGUGCGUGGCGCCGGGCUAACCAACAUGGUGUUCCCGUGCACGAGAGGAUCCAAUGCCCCUCCGCACUACCCCACGUGA
rnacentral:rRNA from 1 species